rnacentral:rRNA from 1 species
CGUGUAGGACGGCGGGACAAGUCAGAUGUGAAAGCCCCCGGCUUAACCGGGGAACUGCAUUUGAAACUGUUUUGCUUGAGUGCGAGAGGGGGUAGUGGAAUUCCCAGUGUAGCGGUGAAAUGCGUAGAUAUUGGGAAGAACACCAGUAGCGAAGGCGGCUACCAGGCUCGCAACUGACGCUAAGGCGCGAAAGCGUGGGGAGCAACA